rnacentral:sRNA from 1 species
AUGACGUCGAUUCUUAGAUCUUUUUGCCUGCGCCUUGUUUUUUCAGGGUAUUUUUGGCGUUGAAGCGCAGCCGCACGAUGUCAAUCACGAUGGCUUUCUCGACGGAAGCGAUAGUCGCCCUUAGAUGCGCGUAGUGCUUUGCCAAUCGCUUUGUUGAUUUCAUCGAGAUUGCAAGCUUCUCGGUGGAACUUGCGACCUACCCACCGGCGCAUGGCCUUAUGUUCCUCAUGAUCAGGAUCGAGCCACGCGUCGAGGAAGUCAGCAUAGCCUGAAGUGCCA